UCUCUGUUAGUAUAUCGGAUAGUACACGCGCCUGUCAUUGUAUUCGUGCGCGCGAAAGCGGGGUUCGACUCCCCGACAGAGAG